UGUUUUAACAAGUCUCGUCAAC
rnacentral:piRNA from 1 species